rnacentral:rRNA from 1 species
AGAGAGAGACAUGCGCGCAUAUCAAUAAGCGGAGGAAAAGAAACUAACAAGGAUUCCCCUAGUAACGGCGAGUGAAGCGGGAAGAGCUCAAAUUUGAAAUCUUCAAGGUUCUACCUUGACGAAUUGUAGUUUAAAGAAGUGUUUUCUGUUGGAGUUUUGGUAAAAGUUCUUUGGAAUAGGACAUCAUAGAGGGUGAGAAUCCCGUAUUUGACCAUUAUUUCCAGCUUUGUGAUACACUUUCAAAGAGUCGGAUUGUUUGGGAAUGCAGUCCAAAAUGGGUGGUAAAUUUCAUCUAAAGCUAAAUAUUGGCGAGAGACCGAUAGCGAACAAGUACCGUGAGGGAAAGAUGAAAAGAACUUUGAAAAGAGAGUUAAACAGUACGUGAAAUUGUCAAAAGGGAAGCGUUUGACACCAGUGUUGUUUUUCUGAAAAUCAAUUAAAAGAACGGAUUUAUGCUAGCUGUAUUAGACUUUAUCAGCUAUCUGCAUUUAUUUUUGAUCUUUUCUUUAAUGCACUUUUCAGUUAACAAGUCAACAUCAAUUUCUUUUGUUGUAAAAGGGUCAUUGGAAGGUGGCUUUCUUUUCGGAGAAAGUGUUUAUAGCCUUUGGCCUCUGCAAUCGGAAGAGAUUGAGGUCUGCAGCGUAGAUCCUUCGGGGUUAGAUACAUUUGUGCUAAGUUAUAGCCUUUCAUAGACAACUUGUUGACUAUGAUCAGUCAUGUAGCUUACUCGCUUAUGCUAUUUUACCUACGCUUAGGAUGUUGAUGUGAUACUGCGAGCA